rnacentral:pre_miRNA from 1 species
UGCCCUAUAAAUGGUCCCCGUGUUAAUAUAUAUAUAACGGGAAUCACUUAUAUAGGGUGUA